rnacentral:lncRNA from 1 species
CUUUUUCUGGGGAAGGAGGUGAAAACAUCACCCACAGCACUAACCAGAGGAAAUGGCCUGUUCCCCAAGGUGCUAUGGGGCUUCCUGCCAGAGCACCUGAUACUUUGUUUCGUGACUGAGGCGAGCCUUGCCUCAAAGUCUUCCUGUAGACGGAGAUGACCAAUCAACUGCCUCCCAGCUCAAACCUGAACUCCUUCAGGCUUCUAGGGGGAGGCCGCAGGCAGAAAGAGCAGCAGGCGUCUGAAUUCUGCGUUUAAAUCCUGGCUCUGCCAUUUGGAAGUUGCGUGACCCCCUCCCCAUAAAAUGGGGAGAGGGUAUAAUGCUCACUGGCUAUGACGAGGACAGAACUUUCUCUUGCAUCCAUUUCAUUUUUUCCCCUUUCCUUCCCAGGUCCCAGGAUCCCUUUACCCUUCCUCUUGUGCGGCCAGUCAAAACUCAAAAUUCUUCUUACUUUAUUUUGCAAAGGAAUUUAGCUUUCUUUGUUUCAUUUUCCGCUCUCUAAGCUGGAUCCUGGACCUACCUUUACAGAACUGAGUGAUUAUGCGAGUGUUUUGCUAACAACAGCCACAAAAGUUCUCCUCCACUGGGAAUUCUGCCUCCAGCUUUAAGGGAGAGAAGACCCCCUACUCUGGCCAUAAGGAAUGAAUUGUGAUUCACCUAGAGAACAUAUAGUAAUCUCAUUCUCUUAAGCAUUAUUCACAAUAGCCAAGACUUGGAAGCAACCCAAGUGCCCAUCAACAAAUGAGUGGAUAAAGAAGAUUUGGUAUAUAUAUAAUGGAAUACUACUCAGCCAUUAAAAAUGCAAAAUACUGCCAUUUGCAACAACAUGGAUGGAUCUUGAGCGUUUUAUUCUAAGUGAAAUAAAUCAGACAAAGACAAAUACUGUAUGAUUUCACUCAUAUGUGGAAGAUAAGCAAACAAACAAACACAUAGGUAAGGAGAAC